UGGAAGGUGGAGCGCCGGCGCGCAGUGCAGCGCAGCGCGUCCAGCUGCACCUGCGCGCCUUUGGCUUUAGCGUGGAAGCGAAGUGUCUCUCGAGGCGCCUCGGCUUCUGCGGAGGGUGGGGGAGUAGCCCGAAAGACAAUAGCUCUGCUGAUUGUGCUGGGUGCUGGAGGCCAGUCCCCGUGAUUUUCCCGCAGAGAACCUGCAUCACUUGUCAAGCCCACAGCCUCCAGUGAGGGUGACUUUCUUGUCCUGGGAGAGAAAGGGGCUUGUUGGCUUCCCACGGGGUGGAGAUGGGGGGAGGCUGGAAAGGGGAGGUCCCAGGUCAGCCCCUCAGAAUCACGGGCUGGGCCCAGCCAAGGUCCAGGGGUGGGCUUUGAAAUUAGGGGACUUCCUGACCUGAUUCCACUUGGCAGACAGGCAGGGAAAGUUCCUUACUGGGCAGCCCUUCCUUCCAACCCCCAGGCCUCGGAGGCCUGGAGGAAACUGGUGAGGAAGCUGGUGAGCUUCCUGCCUGAGGACUGCUCUUAGCCAGCUCCCCAGACCUCAUCACUCACCCUUCCCCCAUCCCGGCCCAGCUUUUACUGGGUUGGAGGAGGGAGGCUGGAAAGAAAAAGGUGUGAAUUCAAUCAGAACUUGAGCCUGACCCCAGCCUGGGGGGGAGCAAGUCCCCUCCCCUCCCAGAUCUCAUUAGUUUCCCCUGGGCCCCCGUCUCUGAUGACUCACAGGCCUGCAAUAAGCCAGAAGGGCACAUGCUGGGGAGGGUCGACCUGGUCAGGCACGGGGGAUACUCUCAAAGUCACCGUGAAUCUGUCCUUGACGGACUCAGACCAAAGACAAGCCUACUGUGGUUCCCUCUCCUGAGGCAUCAGGGGCAAGCCCUCACCCUGGCCUUGGGGGCCUCCGAACCUGCCCUCACAGGGCUCUGCUAUCCAAGCUCACCCUGCCCUCACCUGAGCUCUGCCCACAUUGCCAACCCUUCCCAGAAUAUGCUCACCCCUCCUCCCUGACAGGCCUGCCCAGACCCCCAUUCCUGUUCCUUCCGGCUGUGCACAGGCUGGGGGAAGUCCCUGCGUAGACAGAUGGUGACCAGGAGCCAGAGUCAAGGCCCGACAUCAGAUGGACCUUUGCGCCCACUGCAGGGUCCCUGAGAGGCUCGGUGCAAGGCAAGCAGAGGAAACUGAGCGGGUCGGGGGGAUGCAAGUUGCUGCAGCUGCAAGUGGAGGAGCUCGGCCCAGCUCCUCACCCUGCUCUCCUGUGCUGCCUCCUUCAUGGCACCACCAUCACCUGGAAUCCACACAUGGUCACCACAGUAGUGGCAGCCAAGGCGGCCUGGUUCCUCCCCCAAGCCCCAGGCCCUGGGUGCCACCUGCUGCUGCUGGUGGCAAGACCCUAGUUCAUUUGGAGCUGGUAAGUACCUGGGCCCUCCACCUCCAGGCUAAGCCCUUCCCAAGACCCUGGAUCAAGGCCAUGAUCGGUGACUACUCUGAACUUGGCUAAAGGGAGAUUCCCCCCUCUAUGAGAAUUCCCCCACGCAUAUCCCUGGAGGGACUAGGACAGUGGUGCUAUUGACUGAGCUGGGAGGUGGCAGGGUGGGAAAGGGUGGGGGUUUGGAGACCCAGGGCCGGCAUCCUGUGUUUCCUUGUCCCCCCUAAUACCCCCUGGGUCCUUCCAUGUGUACAACAGGAAGCCAGGAUGAAUCGGUCUGUGAGUCCCUUCCAGCCCUGACAGGCCGGGCUUUUGGUCUGGGCAAUGGAGAGGCAACAGAACCUGGGCCCAGCUGACUUCAGAAGAUAGCUGCAACCUUGGACCUUCUCUUUCACACCUGCCCCUGCCAGGCUCCCUCAGUGUCUCCUCUAGAAGCAGCCUUCCCGAGGCCAAAGGCAAGCUGGCGAGAAGUCAACCACAGUGCCAGCAAGUCCAAGGUUCGUGGUCCUGCUGGCCCAGCCAGGUCCAGGCUCAGGGCAUCCCUGUGUCUCUGGGCAGUACUAGGGCCCAGAGAUCCCUCCUCCCCCUUCCUCUCCUGCAGAUCCACCUGUAUCUCUGGCUACUCUGGGCGGUGGCCAGAAGGCUGGAGCUAAGAGCACCUUGUUGAUAAACCAUAUUCCUAUAAAAGAAGUAAUUAUGGAAUCUUAUCAGGGAAAUCAGAUCUCGAGCAUCAGCCUGGGUGGAACAUUACCAGAUAAGCUGACGACAGCAGGCUGAGGCGCUGAGGUCUCAAAAAUGGGACCUCAGUGGCAGCGAGCACUCUGAGGAACUGAAAUCCUGCCUUAGAGCUGACAUCCAUGGGACGGGGUUGCCCAGGCAGAAACCCCAUCACACAUCCCCAUUCUUGAUUAUUUGACAAACAUGAUUGUUCUAAGUCUAGUACUUGCUAAUUAACUUGCUAAUCCUUAUGGCGGCUUCUGCAAAAUAUUCUAUUGUAACCAUUCCCAUUUUACAAAUGGGGAAACUGAGGCACACACAAAGAGGUGAAGAGACUUGUUCACAAUCACAAGGCAGUAAGUGGGAAAGAAGAUGUGGCCCAGGCAGUCUGGCUUGACAACUGGUACCUUAACUGCUGCACUGUGCCUCCUAAGUCAGGCCACUUUGCACCCUUCUGAGUCCUUAGCUGUAAUAACGUCCUGACUGUGCUGACACACAGUAAGGGCUUUAUGGAUAGUUGCUGACUGGGCACCCCAUGCUGGAGACUGCGCCCCUCCCUCUUGCUCCAGGCCACCAACUCAGCAAGGCUGUUGUAAAUGUUUAUUCCAGGAAGGGAGGGACUGGCCCUUUGGAGGAGGGCAGCUUCUGAUGGUAAUUGAGGCAGCCCCUGGUGGCUAUAUUCAGUACUGCAGGAUGCACUGUGGUCCUCAAAGCUAAGAAGGGCGCCACCUGUUGGGGACGUCCCAGGCUGAGGCUUCUGAGGCCUUCUGACCCCUACCAUAUUAUACUUGCCCAAACUCAACUGCUCCCCCAUAGGGCCAAAAUUCGGAGGGCAAGGGGCUGCCAUGCCUGGAAACCAACCCAUGGAACAAUCAGGAUGAUGCACACAAUAGGUGGUUGGCAAGGAUCUGUGAGUGCAAAACAGUUCAGUUUGGCAGUUUCAUUCAAAAUUGCCCAUCCACCUACCUAUGAUAGCAAUUCCACUCCUGGGUGAUACCCAAUAGCCUUAGGUAUGGAUUUCCAAAAGACAGGUACAUACACAAUGUUCAGAGGAGUGUGAUUCGUGACAGCCCCUGACUAGAAACAGCCCUAACAUCCAUUGUGCUGGAUGCUCUGAUGUGCUGCUCAGAUCCUACUUGAGGAAUGAAGCACAUGGUCCCCCAGAGGCUAGAGUACUGCUCUCAAGUGUUUAACUGAGGUUCUUGUCACAACCGCCCCGCAGUCCAGCUCUCCUGUCAGGUUCUAUUUCCACAGGUGCUGAUCCUGGAAAAGCUCCCUAAUAAUUCUGUCUCAGGGGCUGCUCCCUAGGGAACCCAACCUCCAAGACCCACCAACAGGAGAAUGGACAAGUGAACUACCAUGUAGUCACACCAUGGAAUGAAUGCUCAUGGCAAUAAAAAUGGACAAAUCACUUUCAUC